AACCGCCCGUUUUCCUACCUGCUUCUUGGAUCAUCCUCUUUCCGAGUGCCCUCCUCUCUCUCUCUCUCUACCUUUCCUUCUUUCGAGGCGAGGGAACGAGGGCACACGUCCAUGGAAAAAGAAACCCUAGUUUCCUCCUCCUCCUCCUCCUCUUCUUGGGGCGCAGAUCCGCCACCAGAGGAUUGUUGGAUCGAAGCGCAUCGUGAAUUACUUCCUCGAUGGAGGUCCUUGCGCGAAUCUUCUCAGAUUCCAUUUUCAUGCUUAUUUAUUACUCAGCAGACGCCGAUUCCGAUUUCAAUAUCCAGAGUCAACCAGUUUGAUGCUGCAAGGUUGGAUGUGGAAAUGACUGCUAUGUUGAAGGAGCAGUUAGUUAAAGUCUUCUCUUUGAUGAAGCCAGGGUUUCUAUUUCAAUAUGAGCCAGAACUUGAUGCUUUUCUAGAGUUCCUCAUUUGGAGGUUUUCAAUUUGGGUGGAUAAACCAACACCAGGGAAUGCUCUUAUGAAUCUGAGAUAUAGAGAUGAGCGUGCAGUGCCCACUGGAGGAAAAGAGGGAGCCCAACUUAUAUUUCUUAACUGUUUCACCUCUGAUUCAGUUAGAACAGGACUGGAAGGACCUGGGCUCUCUGUCUCUCAGAAGAUAUGGUACUGCCUUACAACUGUUGGUGGCCGGUAUAUAUGGUCCCGCUUGCAAUCAUUCUCUGCUUUCCGCAGAUGGGGUGAUUUUGAACAGAGAUCAUUAGGACGUAGACUCUGGCUUCUAAUACAACGUGUCGAGGGCUUAUACAAAGCUGCAUCUUUCAGUAAUCUGUUGAUAUUCCUGUAUACUGGAAGGUAUAGGAGUAUUAUUGAGAGGGCACUUAAAGCAAGGCUUGUUUAUGGAAGCCCCAACAUGAAUCGAGCUGUUAGUUUUGAGUACAUGAAUCGGCAGUUGGUGUGGAAUGAAUUUUCGCUUACAGGACAUAACCAGGUAUACCAGUUCCAUGAUCCCUGACAUUAAAAACUUGAGCUCUGUCCAUGCUUCGAGUCAAUCUCUGAGGAGCUGCUGCAUCAUUUUAUCUAAAAUAUUGCACGGUAAGUAGGUGGCAUCAAAUAGACAAAAUAAAAUCACAAGGAGUGGAGGACAUCGACAAAAGUACCAAACUUGACAUUAAGCUGGUGUAGAGGAAGUGUGUGAGUUGUUUGACUGGCAUUGAUACACUAGGAAAUGUUGCUUUUGCUUCUUCCUCUUUUAAAUUCAUCAUCAAUCAAGAAAUUUCUUCUCCCAUUCUCCAAAGACAAAACAUCUGGUUCCUCCAGCGAUGAAUCAGAGUGCCCCAUAUGCCAUGCAAAUCCAACCAUUCCAUUUGUCGCUCUUCCUUGUCAGCAUAGGUAUUGUUACUAUUGCCUCCGCACUCGCUGUGCAGCGGUCGGCUCAUAUCGCUGCGCACGUUGCAAUGAGGCUGUUGUGGCCAUUCAACGACAUGGAUUAGGUGAAGGUAGAACAUCUAAGAAUUGAAUUCCCGGUUUGGUAUUGUAAAAGCAGUGUAUAAUAUGCCUGAAGUGGCAUACAUUCAUUGAUUUAAAGAACCUCACAGAAAUCUAGUUAGAAAUAGAAUUGUAGGUUCUGUUUUUGUUUUAUCCGCUGGCAGCAGAGCUCUUCUUACGCUGUGAAUCUCCCUGGAUGGUUCUCACCACUGCAAUAUUGAAGCUGAUGCUUUGCUGGUCUAGGGCCUGGAGUUUUGCUUGUUGGGUUGCUGUUAUUUAAUUGUGUUGGCAACGUCACAGCUGACAGUAUGCAAUAAAAAAAAAUUGGAGGACAGUUGUGAUAGCUCAUUGUCAAAUGCCUCAAAAUUAGCCCUCCAUUUCAUAAA